ACUUAGGAUAUUAGCAUCAGGCAGUUAUAAAAUUGCAAUCCCGUAGCUGCCUCUGGAACAUACCAGUGUAGUGUGUGUGGAGCCUCACUAGAAUGCCAUUUUCUGUGAUGCAUCAGGAAUGUGCACACUCCGCAUUGGAAAGAAAAUCAGCAACUUUGAAGUGGAAAUUAUCAAAGACAAGAAAAGAUUCACUCUCCUGUAAUGAGGUAUUAUAUUUAAAGAACCUGGAGUCCAGAGGGGCCAGCACAUAGCAGAUUAGAAGUAGGCACUCAGAAUGACCAAUUCAGAGAUGCAGCAAGUUUCCCUGCCUUUGCGAAGAGAGAAGGAAGCUGGAGAGGUUUUUUGUUUUCCAUAUUAUAUUUCCAAUUCUUUUAAACAUCAGUGUUACUAUUCUUUUUGUAAUUUAAUAUUGAUAUAAAAAGGUAAUAUUCAUUAUUAUAUCUACAUUGUAAAGCAAAACUGUAAAAUAGAUACCCUUAAACUACUACCCAAUUUAAGAACUAGCAUGUCUCCAUCACAGCUGAAUAUACUUCCAUGGUCUUCUUCUACCCCAACUCUAGGCCUUUCUCCUUAGAGGUAAAUACUACCUGAAUUUUGUGUUUAUGAUUCCUUUGCCUUUUAUUUUUUUUUGAAUCAUCACAU